UACGGAGGGUGCAGCGUUAAUCGGAAUUACUGGGCGUAAAGCGUGCGUAGGCGGUUCGUUAAGUCUGUUGUGAAAGCCCCCGGGCUCAACCUGGGAAUGGCAAUGGAUACUGGCGAGCUAGAGUGUGUCAGAGGAUGGUGGAAUUCCCGGUGUAGCGGUGAAAUGCGCAGAUAUCAGGAGGAACACCGAUGGCGAAAGGCAGCUCGCUGGGGACGGUACUGACGCUG
rnacentral:rRNA from 1 species